rnacentral:rRNA from 1 species
UCCUGGNNCAGGAUGAACGCUGGCGGCGUGCUUAACACAUGCAAGUCGAACGGACUGAGGGAGCUUGCUCCCAAAGUUAGUGGCGGACGGGUGAGUAACGCGUGGGUAACCUGCCCUAUGCAGGGGGAUAACGUUUGGAAACGAACGCUAAUACCGCAUAACCUAAUUAGUUCGCAUGAACUGAUUAGCAAAGAUUUAUCGGCAUAGGAUGGACCCGCGUUGGAUUAGCUAGUUGGUGAGAUAAAAGCUCACCAAGGCGACGAUCCAUAGCCGGCCUGAGAGGGUGAACGGCCACACUGGGACUGAGACACGGCCCANACUCCUACGGGAGGNNNNNNUGGGGAAUAUUGCACAAUGGGCGCAAGCCUGAUGCAGCGACNCCNCGUGAAGGAUGAAGGNUUUCGGAUCGNAAACUUCUAUCAGCAGGNAAGAAACNNNNGACGGNACCUGACNAANAAGCCCCGGNUAACUACNNGCCAGCAGCCGCGGUAAUACGUAGGGGGCAAGCGUUAUCCGGAUUUACUGGGUNUAAAGGGUG